GAAGGCCUACGGGAGGCAGCAGUGAGGAAUAUUGGUCAAUGGGCGGAAGCCUGAACCAGCCAAGUCGCGUGAGGGAAUAAGGCCCUACGGGUCGUAAACCUCUUUUGCCGGGGAGCAAGGGCCGGGACGCGUCCCGGCCCGGAGAGUACCCAGAGAAAAAGCAUCGGCUAACUCCGUGCCAGCAGCCGCGGUAAUACGGAGGAUGCGAGCGUUAUCCGGAUUUAUUGGGUUUAAAGGGUGCGUAGGCGGGCUUUUAAGUCAGCGGUAAAAAUUCGGG
rnacentral:rRNA from 1 species